rnacentral:rRNA from 1 species
UACAGAGGGUGCUAGCGUUAAUCGGAUUUACUGGGCGUAAAGCGUGUGUAGGCGGUUCGUUAAGUCGGAUGUGAAAGCCCUGGGCUCAACCUAGGAAUUGCAUUCGAUACUGGCGAGCUAGAGUACGGUAGAGGGCGGCGGAAUUCCGGGUGUAGCGGUGAAAUGCGUAGAUAUCCGGAGGAACACCGAUGGCGAAGGCAACCGCCUGGGCCUGUACUGACGCUGAGACACGAAAGCGUGGGGAGCAAAC